CCUACGGGUGGCUGCAGUGGGGAAUAUUGCACAAUGGGCGCAAGCCUGAUGCAGCCAUGCCGCGUGUGUGAAGAAGGCCUUCGGGUUGUAAAGCACUUUCAGCGGGGAGGAAGGCGUUAAGGUUAAUAACCUUGUCGAUUGACGUUACCCGCAGAAGAAGCACCGGCUAACUCCGUGCCAGCGGCCGCGGUAAUACGGAGGGUGCAAGCGUUAAUCGGAAUUACUGGGCGUAAAGCGCACGCAGGCGGUCUGUCAAGUCGGAUGUGAAAUCCCCGGGCUCAACCUGGGAACUGCAUUCGAAACUGGCAGGCUAGAGUCUUGUAGAGGGGGGUAGAAUUCCAGGUGUAGCGGUGAAAUGCGUAGAGAUCUGGAGGAAUACCGGUGGCGAAGGCGGCCCCCUGGACAAAGACUGACGCUCAGGUGCGAAAGCGUAGGGAGCAAACAGGAUUAGAUACCCGGGUAGUC
rnacentral:rRNA from 1 species